UAGGGAAUCUUCGGCAAUGGACGGAAGUCUGGCCGAGCAACGCCGCGUGAGUGAAGAAGGUUUUCGGAUCGUAAAGCUCUGUUGUAAGAGAAGAACGAGUGUGAGAGUGGAAAGUUCACACUGUGACGGUAUCUUACCAGAAAGGGACGGCUAACUACGUGCCAGCAGCCGCGGUAAUACGUAGGUCCCGAGCGUUGUCCGGAUUUAUUGGGCGUAAAGCGAGCGCAGGCGGUUAGAUAAGUCUGAAGUUAAAGGCUGUGGCUUAACCAUAGUAGGCUUUGGAAACUGUUUAACUCGAGUGCAAGAGGGGAGAGUGGAAUUCCAUGUGUAGCGGUGAAAUGCGUAGAUAUAUGGAGGAACACCGGUGGCGAAAGCGGCUCUCUGGCUUGUAACUGACGCUGAGGCUCGAAAGCGUGGGGAGCAAACAGGAUUAGAUACCCUGGUAGUCCACGCUGUAAACGAUGAGUGCUAGGUGUUAGACCCUUUCCGGGGUUUAGUGCCGUAGCUAACGCAUUAAGCACUCCGCCUGGGGAGUACGACCGCAAGGUUG
rnacentral:rRNA from 1 species